rnacentral:piRNA from 1 species
CACAUCACUACAGACCGUGGAAGGCAA